GCUGGCGGCGUGCUUUACACAUGCAAGUCGAGCGAGGCGGGUAGCAAUACCCAGUCGAGCGGCGAACGGGUGAGUAACGCGUGGAUUAUCUGCCCUGAGGUGGGGGAUAACCCGGGGAAACUCGGGCUAAUACCGCAUAUGACCGUGAGGUCAAAGGGGGGUCGCAAGAUCUCUCGCCAUAGGAGGAGUCCGCGUCCGAUUAGCUAGUUGGUAGGGUAAUGGCCUACCAAGGCGACGAUCGGUAGCCGGCCUGAGAGGGUGAUCGGCCACACUGGAACUGAGACACGGUCCAGACUCCUACGGGAGGCAGCAGUGGGGAAUUUUGCGCAAUGGGCGAAAGCCUGACGCAGCAACGCCGCGUGGAGGAUGAAGGUCCUUGGAUUGUAAACUCCUGUCAGCAGGGAAAAAGCGACUUAGCCUCAUACGCUAGGGAGUUGAUUGUACCUGCAGAGGAAGCCCCGGCUAACUCUGUGCCAGCAGCCGCGGUAAUACAGAGGGGGCAAGCGUUAUUCGGAAUUAUUGGGCGUAAAGG
rnacentral:rRNA from 1 species